rnacentral:rRNA from 1 species
UGCCAGCAGCCGCGGUAAUACGGAGGGUCCGAGCGUUAAUCGGAAUUACUGGGCGUAAAGCGCGCGUAGGCGGUUAGAUCAGUCGGGUGUGAAAGCCCCGGGCUCAACCUGGGAACUGCAUUCGAUACUGUCUGACUGGAGUAUGGGAGAGGGCAGUGGAAUUCCAUGUGUAGCGGUGAAAUGCGUAGAUAUAGGAAGGAAUACCGGUGGCGAAGGCGGCUUCCUGGACCGAUACUGACGCUGAGACGCGAAAGCGUGGGGAGCAAACAGGAUUAGAUA